AUUGAACGCUGGCGGCAGGCCUAACACAUGCAAGUCGAGCGCGCGGCGGAAGGGUGAGUAAUGUAUGGGGAAACCCCGAGAGAGGGGGAUAACUACUGGAAACGGGAGCUAAUACCGCGUACUAUAGGAUAACCCAUAUGGGAUUAGCUAGUAGGUGAGGUAAUGGCUCACCAAGGCGACGAUCCCUAGCUGGUCUGAGAGGAUGAGCAGCCACACUGGGACUGAGACACGGCCCAGACUCCUACGGAGGCAGCAGUGGGGAAUAUUGCACAAUGGGCGCAAGCCUGAUGCAGCCAUGCCGCGUGUAUGAAGAAGGCCCUAGGGUUGUAAAGUACUUUCAGUCGGGAGGCGUUACCGACAGAAGAAGCACCGGCUAACUCCGUGCCAGCAGCCGCGGUAAUUC
rnacentral:rRNA from 1 species